AGAGUUUGAUCAUGGCUCAGGACGAACGCUGGCGGCGUGCUUAAGACAUGCAAGUCGUACGAGAAAGCCUCUUCGGAGGUGAGUAAAGUGGCGCACGGGUGAGUAACACGUGGGUAAUCUGCCCUUAGGUUUGGGAUAACCCCGGGAAACCGGAGCUAAUACCGAAUGAGACCACGACGACCUCGGUUGAUGUGGGAAAAGAUGGCCUCUUCUUGAAAGCUAUCGCCAAAGGAUGAGCCCGCGGUUGAUUAGCUUGUUGGUGAGGUAACGGCUCACCAAGGCUCCGAUCAAUAGCUGGUCUGAGAGGAUGAUCAGCCACACUGGAACUGAGACACGGUCCAGACUCCUACGGGAGGCAGCAGUCGGGAAUAUUGGGCAAUGGGCGAAAGCCUGACCCAGCAACGCCGCGUGAAGGAUGAAGGCCCUAGGGUCGUAAACUUCUGUCGAGAGGGAAGAAUGCCUGCGGGUAAACAAUCCGUAGGUUUGACGGUACCUCCAAAGGAAGCACCGGCUAACUCCGUGCCAGCAGCCGCGGUAAUACGGAGGGUGCAAGCGUUGUUCGGAUUUAUUGGGCGUAAAGCGAGUGUAGGCGGUUUGGCAAGUCGGAUGUGAAAUCCCAGGGCCCAACCCUGGAACUGCAUCCGAUACUGUCAGGCUAGAAUUCCGGAGAGGGUGGCGGAAUUCCCGGUGUAGGGGUGAAAUCCGUAGAUAUCGGGAGGAACACCAGUGGCGAAGGCGGCCACCUGGACGGUAAUUGACGCUGAGACUCGAAAGCGUGGGUAGCAAACAGGAUUAGAUACCCUAGUAGUCC
rnacentral:rRNA from 1 species